UUUAAUUUUUUGAGGAACCUCCAUAUUUUUUAUAAUGGCUAUACUAAUUUACAUUCCCAUCAAGAGUGUACGAGGGUGCUCUUUUUUCUAUGUGCUUGCCAACACUUAUUUUCCAUCUUUGUGAUAAUAGCCAAUCUAACAGGUGUGAGGGAAUAUCUUCUUGUAGUUUUAAUUUGCACUUCUCUGAUGAUGAGUUAAUGAUGAUGAGCAUUUUUU